GUGCCAGCAGCCGCGGUAAUACGUAGGUGGCAAGCGUUAUCCGGAAUUAUUGGGCGUAAAGCGCGCGUAGGCGGUUUUUUAAGUCUGAUGUGAAAGCCCACGGCUCAACCGUGGAGGGUCAUUGGAAACUGGAAAACUUGAGUGCAGAAGAGGAAAGUGGAAUUCCAUGUGUAGCGGUGAAAUGCGCAGAGAUAUGGAGGAACACCAGUGGCGAAGGCGACUNUCUGGUCUGUAACUGACGCUGAUGUGCGAAAGCGUGGGGAGCGAACAGGAUUAGAUACCCUGGUAGUCC
rnacentral:rRNA from 1 species